UACGUAGGGUCCAAGCGUUAAUCGGAAUUACUGGGCGUAAAGCGUGCGCAGGCGGUUGUGCAAGACCGAUGUGAAAUCCCCGAGCUUAACUUGGGAAUUGCAUUGGUGACUGCACGGCUAGAGUGUGUCAGAAGGGGGUAGAAUUCCACGUGUAGCAGUGAAAUGCGUAGAGAUGUGGAGGAAUACCGAUGGCGAAGGCAGCCCCCCGGGAUAACACUGACGCUCAUGCACGAAAGCGUGGGGAGCAAACAGGAUUAGAAACCCCAGUAGUCC
rnacentral:rRNA from 1 species